GGCUUGUCUGUCAUGGCGGACAGACACACUUUGUCUGAGCUCCAGCACACAAUCUCAAGUUUAUAGCUAUAUUGGCAGAUUACUCCCCCAUCAUUGACUCCAGCUGCCCUGCUGGUGACCCUAAACAGAUUCCGAAGCGUGUUCUGAUGUUUUUGGGUGUCCACGCUACCGGAGACCCGUGAGCAGUUUUGGCGGCUUAGUGGACCUAGGAGAGUGGAGAAGCGGCCGAUCUCCACCCUGGACCCGUGUGGCCGAUUAAUGCCCUGUACCCCCCCCUUGGACCGGUGGGGGUGAUCCCGGUCUAGGCUUCCUAGUUACUCUGAGGGCGCACGGCACACCCGCGAUACAAGCAACAGGCCCUCAAACAUACUCAAUAUGGCGGGUUCCAUGUGCGCCCCCGGCCAAUACAGAGGCUUCUCAGAUGUCCUGCACCAUCUGGAUGGGCUAUUUGAGUCCUUUCAGGCAAGGCUGAAGGCACACUUGCGACCCACUAUACCAAAGGACCUGACAACUGCUACAAGUCCACGUACAGCCACUGGGCGAAAAGAGAGCAGUCAGUGUCACACCGAGGACGGAUGGUGUGUAGAAGGAGAGCAAGACCCACGGUGAAGCCGGCAGCAGAAACUGGAACUUGGGACCGCCUGCUGAUCUCACAGGAUUUACCUGACUGCCACAAACCACCACUUAAGGGAGUUAUCAGACUUCCAUCUGGGACUCCUGUACGAGGUCUACAUUUGGCAACCACAAGGCAUAGGCUCAUCUCAUACCCAAACCAGGGUCUACCUACCUUUAACAUCACAUCCCAACCGUGAUGCUGCUGAAUUCGCGAUUUAAACGGUUGCCUCGUUUCCUUUCAUGUACUUCGUAAUGCUUUUACAUAUAGUCUGUCUGGGGGGCCUCCUGAGGGUUCUUACUCGUUGCUAAACUGUGACAUUCUUACAUUAACUACUAUUAACUCUACAGCUUCUACAGCUGUAAAGAACCUGCUUGCCUAUUAUCACAAUGUUUCACUCAAACUGCACGUCUUUCUUGACGUUUUUAUUUUUUCCUUUAGUUAAUUUUAAAAAUGUGCUGCUUCUUCUAUACACUAUAAUUGUCAGUGUAUACUAUCCUAUUUUUGUCAUUGACAAGCACAUC